rnacentral:rRNA from 1 species
GAUGAACGCUGGCGGCGUGCCUAAUACAUGCAAGUCGAGCGAAUGGAUUAAGAGCUUGCUCUUAUGAAGUUAGCGGCGGACGGGUGAGUAACACGUGGGUAACCUGCCCAUAAGACUGGGAUAACUCCGGGAAACCGGGGCUAAUACCGGAUAACAUUUUGAACCGCAUGGUUCGAAAUUGAAAGGCGGCUUCGGCUGUCACUUAUGGAUGGACCCGGGUCGCAUUAGCUAGUUGGUGAGGUAACGGCUCACCAAGGCAAGGAUGCGUAGCCGACCUGAGAGGGUGAUCGGCCCAGCUGGGACUGAGACACGGCCCAGACUCCUACGGGAGGCAGCAGUAGGGAAUCUUCCGCAAUGGACGAAAGUCUGACGGAGCAACGCCGCGUGAGUGAUGAAGGCUUUCGGGUCGUAAAACUCUGUUGUUAGGGAAGAACAAGUGCUAGUUGAAUAAGCUGGCACCUUGACGGUACCUAACCAGAAAGCCACGGCUAACUACGUGCCAGCCGCCGCCGUAA